rnacentral:rRNA from 1 species
GAUCCUGGCUCAGGAUGAACGCUGGCGGCGUGCUUAACACAUGCAAGUCGAGCGAAGCACUUAAGUUUGAUUCUUCGGAUGAAGACUUUUGUGACUGAGCGGCGGACGGGUGAGUAACGCGUGGGUAACCUGCCUCAUACAGGGGGAGUAACAGUUAGAAAUGACUGCUAAUACCGCAUAAGACCACGGUACCGCAUGGUACAGUGGUAAAAACUACCGGUGGUAUGAGAUGGACCCGCGU